UACGGGGGGGGCAAGCGUUGUUCGGAAUUACUGGGCGUAAAGGGUUCGUAGGUGGCCUGCUAAGUCAGACGUGAAAUCCCUCGGCUUAACCGGGGAACUGCGUCUGAGACUGGCGGGCUUGAGUACAGGAGAGGAACGCGGAAUUCCAGGUGUAGCGGUGAAAUGCGUAGAUAUCUGGAGGAACACCGGUGGCGAAGGCGGCGUUCUGGACUGCUACUGACACUGAGGAACGAAAGCCAGGGGAGCAAACGGG
rnacentral:rRNA from 1 species